ensembl:rRNA 5S_rRNA 5S ribosomal RNA
GCUUAUGGCCAUACCACCCUGAGCACGCCCGAUCUCGUCUGAUCUCGGAAGCUAAGCAGUGUUGGGCCUGGUUAGUACUUGGAUGGGAGACCGCCUGGGAAUACCAGGUGCUGUAAGCU